rnacentral:rRNA from 1 species
AUGGAGACGCCAAACAGCCUCGCGUCCGUCUCCGGCCCGCCGUCGACGGCGAGGCCGGCGGCCGUGGCCAGCGCCGAGCACGAUGGCAUCAGGUCCAGUAUCCCCGCGGGGAGCGGCGGCGGAGGGGCCAGGGCCGACUCGCCCGAGCAGUUCACCACGGACGACAGCGACCCGGGGCCGCCGUCCGGCUGCUGGCUCGAGGCGAACUUGGACAUGAGGCUCACGAUGUUGUUGCACAGCUUCUUCAUCUGCCCCAGCUCGCGGGUCAACCGCGCGUUAUCCCGCCGCAGCCGGUCGUUCUCCUCGCCCAUAUCACCGGACGAGGAGCCGGCGGCGGCGCCGCCCAGGCCGGAGCCUGAGCCGGACGGUGCGGCCGGCGGGAGCUCCUCCGCGGAUCCUGAGUUGGACGACAGGACCUGCUCCUCGGAGGAGAGCUGCGGCUCCGGCGAGCCGGAGCGCGUAACCGGCAACGCCAUCGGGAUCGCCGCGGUGGCAACCGUCACCGCCCCAGCCGCGGCGGCGGCAGCGGCAGCCGCAAGCCCCGCCGAUUGGACCACCUUCCGGCGGUGUAUGUCGCAGAGCAGGCGCUUCUCGCCUCGCCGGAAGCAGUCGUUGGCGAACUCCCACCGGUCCGGCACGAUCUUCCUAAAUCCCUAUACGCCACAGCAAGCAAAAUCAGAGGAUCAACAACAUGGGCAUUCCACGCCAAAAAUCCAGAAAGGCCAAAUCCCAACCCCGAGCCCGAGGAAUCAACCAACCGAACCCAUCGAGCGCACGUACGUAGGUGUUGAGCUGCCGCACGAAGCUAGAGAAGUUGUUGUGCUUGAAGUACUUGGGGAGCAGGUCCCGGGCGAACUCCGCCGGCCGCCACACCACGAACGUCGACCCGUCCUCGCCCCACGAGAUCACGUCGUCCACCGCCGGGUCCUCGACGAGCUGGUACGUCUUGGUCAGGAACGGCGUCGGCAGCGACCUCUGCCCCGCCGCGUCCACCGACGCCACCAGCCCCGGCAUAGGCGCCGGGGGAGGAGGCUCCGCCCCAGCCCUGUCCGCUGCCGCCGCCGCAGCGCCAUGCUCGGCCGCCAUCACGCCGGCGCCUCCUCUACCCCUCCCGGCCGGAUCUGGCCCGGGGAACCCCGUAGUAGCUUCCAGAUGCGGUUGAGGCCACCUCACCAAGGAAAGGAACGUACGGAAGAAGCCUUCUGGAAGCUUCGCCCGCGGGAUUACGAGACUUAUACCCAACGGGAGGAGGAGAACGGCGAUAAAAAUAAGAGAAAUGAAAAAAUGGAGAGAAAGGCGAGGGGCAAAAGAAAACGCACUUUGAUAAAAAUAAAUUUUCUCGACCGCGACACGACGCACACCACUCGUACCGAGAAAGCCGCGGCGGGGUGGACCCGGCCCGCAUGGAUAUCUUCCGCCGCGCGGCCGCAUCCGGCCGUUGGAUGGGCAUCUGGUGGCGGCAGCGGACGGCCCGGAUGCCAUUCGGGCGAGAUUUGGUUCUAUACGGGGUGGCCCGCGGCAUGGGUGCGGUGGGGCCGGGGUGUUAGGAAAGAGCGAGAAACUUCGAUGGCUUGUCGCCCUUCCGUUUUCUGGAAGGUUCAGGUCCGCGCGGGCUUGCGCCAGGCUGGACGGGAGCACGUGUCGACCAUCCCGCCGGCGGUAUGGAUAAGAUUUUGUUUUGCGAGGGGGACCUGGAUUUAUGCGUCGGAUGCUUGGUAUUUUUGCAUUUUUUUUGGUCACCCUACUACUGUAUUCCAAGAAGGUUCUCUAAGCUUCGAUAUAAAUUGA